UACGUAGGGUGCGAGCGUUAAUCGGAAUUACUGGGCGUAAAGCGUGCGCAGGCGGUAAUGCAAGACAGAUGUGAAAUCCCCGGGCUCAACCUGGGAAGUGCAUUGGAUACUGGAAGACUUGAGUACGGGAGAGGGGUAGUGGAAUUCCUAGUGUAGGAGUGAAAUCCGUAGAUAUGCGGAGGAACACCGAUGGCGAAGGCAGCCCCCUGGGAUAACACUGACGCUCAUGCACGAAAGCGUGGGGAGCAAACAGGAUUAGAUACCCCGGUAGU
rnacentral:rRNA from 1 species